GAUGAACGCUGGCGGCGUGCUUAACACAUGCAAGUCGAACGGUGAACGAGGGAGCUUGCUCCCUCCGGAUCAGUGGCGAACGGGUGAAUAACACGUGAGCAAUCUGCCCCGAACUCUGGGAUAAGCGCUGGAAACGGCGUCUAAUACCGGAUACGACGCGCGAAGGCAUCUUCUGCGCGUGGAAAGAAUUUCGGUUCGGGAUGAGCUCGCGGCCUAUCAGCUAGUUGGUGAGGUAACGGCUCACCAAGGCGACGACGGGUAGCCGGCCUGAGAGGGUGACCGGCCACACUGGGACUGAGACACGGCCCAGACUCCUACGGGAGGCAGCAGUGGGGAAUAUUGCACAAUGGGCGCAAGCCUGAUGCAGCAACGCCGCGUGAGGGACGACGGCCUUCGGGUUGUAAACCUCUUUUAGUAGGGAAGAAGCGAAAGUGACGGUACCUGCAGAAAAAGCACCGGCUAACUACGUGCCAGCAGCCGCCGUAAUAC
rnacentral:rRNA from 1 species